AGAGUGAACGCUGGCGGCAGGCCUAACACAUGCAAGUCGAGCGGCAGCACGGGUACUUGUACCUGGUGGCGAGCGGCGGACGGGUGAGUAAUGCCUAGGAAUCUGCCUGAUAGUGGGGGAUAACGUUCGGAAACGGACGCUAAUACCGCAUACGUCCUACGGGAGAAAGUGGGGGAUCUUCGGACCUCACGCUAUCAGAUGAGCCUAGGUCGGAUUAGCUA
rnacentral:rRNA from 1 species